rnacentral:lncRNA from 1 species
CUAAGCGACCCCUUUUCAAACCCCCCCCCCCAUAACGACGACGGCGGCGGCCACCGCCGACCUCCUUCCCAACCUCAGUCAGGAGAACCUCGGAGCCUCACUCGCUUUUUCUUUUUCUCCUCUCCCUUUUCUUCCCUCAGAGCGGUCGCCUCGUUACAACCGCCUUCCUCACGAUCGGAGGGAAUCCACCACAGCCUAAGGCGCCGGCUGAGGGAAACGAGGAGAGGAGGCGAGUCUGAGGGGAGGCGUGUCCUUUUCCCCCUCCCAGCUGGUGCCGCUGCUCAGGGCAGCCCGGCGCCUUCCCUGGGCCUGGGCGCCGCCAACCGGCGAGGCGGUGGCGGAUUCCCCGCACAAGACCCCUCGCCAAAUCCUAUGUAUGUUACUUCAAAAGGAAGUGAUAAUUAAUUUGGUGGGAGUUACUCCCUUGGUGGCCUAAGACAACAAAGAUCAGUAAAGUCACAUGCUGUUCAAAGAAGUCUUGGCAGACUGAAUCAUAUGAGCUUCCCUGCAAUCCUGGUUUAAACAUCAGAGGACCAGAACCUCAGUCCCUCAGGUAAAAUCCUUGUUUUGGGGGUUCUUUGGAAGACCAUGCCACAUACGUGAUCCCAUCAUUUGGUAAUUUCCUGGCUUUUCUUUUCCUUGGUCCCAAUCCUUUUGCUUUUAACCCAAUCCACCACUGAAAUCAGGCAAGAUCACCAAUAGUACAGUACAAUCUUUUUAGUUACUUUGUAUGAAUAUGAAAGCUGGGCCAUGAGGAAAGCCAACAGACAACAAGUCAGUUUGCCUGAAAUGCAGUGCUGGAGGAUAGCUUUGUGGUUACCAUGAACAGCCAGAAAGGCAAACAAAUGAGUCCUAGAUCAGAUCAAGCGUGAAUUCUCUAGAAGCAAACAAUGAUGAAACUGGAUCUGUUGGACUUUGGGCCCAUCAUGAAAAGACUGGAAAAGAUAAUGAUGCUAGGAGAAUUUGAAGGCAACAGGAAAAGAAGAAGACCAAACAUGAGAUUGAAUGACUGAAUAAAAGAAGCCACAGGUUUGAAUUUACA